UUAGGUAAAUCCGGCUCUUUUUAAGGCUGAGACACGACGUCGAGCUACUACGGUAGUGAAGUCAUUGAUGCCAUGCUUCCAGGAAAAGCCUCUAAGCUUCAGAUUGUAAGGAAUCGUACCCCAAACCGACACAGGUGGUCGGGUAGAGAAUACCAAGGCGCUUGAGAGAACUCGGGUGAAGGAACUAGGCAAAAUGGUACCGUAACUUCGGGAGAAGGUACGCUCUUGAUGGUGAAGUCCCUUGCGGAUGGAGCUGACGAGAGUCGCAGAUACCAGGUGGCUGCAACUGUUUAUUAAAAACAC
rnacentral:rRNA from 1 species